UUAACGUAGGUUGAAACUGCGCAUGGAUCAUUAUAGCGUUUAGACCGGGUUGUAGCUGGCCUUCCGAGGCAUGUGCACGCCCUGCUCAUCCACUCUACACCUGUGCACUUACUGUGGGCUUCAGAUUGCGAGGCACGCUCUUUACCGGGCUUGCGGAGCAUAUCUGUGCCUGCGUUUAUCACAAACUCUAUAAAGUAACAGAAUGUGUAUUGCGAUGUAACACAUCUAUAUACAACUUUCAGCAACGGAUCUCUUGGCUCUCGCAUCGAUGAAGAACGCAGCGAAAUGCGAUAAGUAAUGUGAAUUGCAGAAUUCAGUGAAUCAUCGAAUCUUUGAACGCACCUUGCGCUCCUUGGUAUUCCGAGGAGCAUGCCUGUUUGAGUGUCAUGAAAUCUUCAACCUACAAGCUUUUGUGGUUUGUUGGCUUGGACUUGGAGGCUUGUCGGCCAUUAUCGGUCGGCUCCUCUUAAAUACAUUAGCUUGGUUCCUUGCGGAUCGGCUCUCGGUGUGAUAAUGUCUACGCCGUGACCGUGAAGCGUUUGGCGAGCUUCUAACCGUCUUAUAAGACAGCUUUAUGACCUCUGACCUCAAAUCAGGUAGGACUACCCGCUGAACUUAAGCAUAUCAUUAAGCCGGAGGAAAUCUCUA
rnacentral:rRNA from 1 species